UACAGUUAUAAUAAACAACUAACUAUUUUAUGAUUUCUUUCUAUUUGUUCUUGGUUGGUAGACAGAGUUACAUGGUACCUGUAUCUCAUGGAAUAGUCGAGGUGCAUGAAAGCUGAUCUGAACACUAUAAUUAUAACAAACUAGCUUUUCUAUGAUUUCUUCCUUGGUAACAGAGUUACAUGGUACCUGUAUCUCAUGGAAUUAGUCGAGGUGCACGAAAGCUGACCCCAACACUACAGUUACAAUAAACAACUAACUUUUUUAUGAUUUCUUUCUAUCUGUUUUUGAUAGAUAGAGGUUACAUGGUAUCUGUACGAAAGCUAACCCGAACACCACGAUUAUAAAAAAAAUAUAUCUUUUUUAUAUAUACAGAUACUGAAUACCCUUUACUUCUAUAAACAAGAAUAUUUAAACAAUAAAUUAC
rnacentral:lncRNA from 1 species